GACGAACGCUGGCGGCGUGCCUAAUACAUGCAAGUAGAACGCUGAAGCGAGGAGCUUCCUCUUCUUGGAUGAGUUGCGAACGGGUGAGUAACGCGUAGGUAACCUACCUUGUAGCGGGGGAUAACUAUUGGAAACGAUAGCUAAUACCGCAUAACACUGGAUGACACAUGUCAUUUAUUUGAAAGGGGCAAUUGCUCCACUACAAGAUGGACCUGCGUUGUAUUAGCUAGUAGGUGAGGUAAUGGCUCACCUAGGCGACGAUACAUAGCCGACCUGAGAGGGUGAUCGGCCACACUGGGACUGAGACACGGCCCAGACUCCUACGGGAGGCAGCAGUAGGGAAUCUUCGGCAAUGGGGGCAACCCUGACCGAGCAACGCCGCGUGAGUGAAGAAGGUUUUCGGAUCGUAAAGCUCUGUUGUAAGUCAAGAACGGGUGUGAGAGUGGAAAGUUCACACUGUGACGGUAGCUUACCAGAAAGGGACGGCUAACUACGUG
rnacentral:rRNA from 1 species